GGAAUUGUAUGAUAGACAAGUAUGAAAAAGCUGGGCUGCUUGAACAAGCUAUAGUUCUACUGCAGAUCAUGAAACUCGAAGGAAUGAAACCAAAUUCACGUGCAUUGGCAGGGCUGCUUGCAGCUUGUGGCGCCUUUGGAUCAAUAAAAUUAGGCCGUUGUCUGGUGAUUAUGUAGAAGAGGAGGGAUUGGGAUGUAGUUCUUUCAACUGCUUUGGCUGAUAUGUUUGCUAAAUGUGGGGUUUUGGACAAGGCUAUUCAAAUUU
rnacentral:misc_RNA from 1 species